rnacentral:lncRNA from 1 species
GCUCAAAACUGUGCCCACCAUCAACACAUAUUCGUGACUUUUCCAUAUCCACUAUCCAAAGCAGGACUUUAAUUCUUCCUAAGUGGAUUCAUUCUAUCUCUAAGAUAAUAAAACUUGGCCCUCCUCACUCUUUUCUUGUCCAACACUGUUCUCUCCUUUAUGUUUGGAGAAUACCUGUCAUUUUCCAACUUAAUUAGUAACAAACAUUUUUUCAUGUGGCAAGAAGGAAUAGAUAAGGUAGCAAUCACAUAUACUUGAGUCAGAAAGUCUGUUAUAUGCAUUUGAGAUGUUUCUGAGCAUUGAUGCAUCGAAUUUUCUAACAUUAAAUGAAUUUCAAAUAAAACUGUAAAGUCAUAUAAGGAAAAGAAGGAGCAGGCAACAAUGUGAAGGUGGUGCAAACAGAGAUCAGAGGUAGUUAGCUUAUUUGAAAUUCAUAGGCAUUUAAUUUACCUCUAAUGCAGUGUAAAAUGGCUCCACAACGCAAGCUGCAAAACAACCAAGAUUAAAGAUCAAAUGAUAAUACGACAGAAAAGGGGCAACCAAAGAUCCAAAACUGCAGUAGUUCUUAUGCAGUCAAAUGUUAAAAUGGAGAACAUAUAGUAUAAAGGUCAAGAAUUUCAUUUAGGGACUCAAAACUUUUAUAAACAUAGACCUCUAUUGCAAAAUACUAUAUCACAAUAUAACAAUCUAACAACAUCAAGAGCAACAAAAUCUCUUUGAACUCCGUGAUAUCCUAUAUUAAUAACUACUUGCAUAAGAAACUAUAGCAGUUUACAAAUCUGAUUUUGAACUUAUACAACCACAAGAUUUCUAUCAACAUGUAUAUAUCUCAUAAUUACAAUAAACCAUUACUACAUAUAAAUUUUUUUUUAUCACGAACCAUUUUCUUCCAACCUAACACAUUAUAGAUCAUUGUUUUUCUCCUCCCAACAGAUCAAAAUGCAUCAGAUAUGAAUUAAAUGACACUGAAGCAAUUAUCUACAAACUAAAAAUUCCAUUCAACGCAACAACAAACGGAAAACAGAGCAAUCAAAACCGAAAUUCGUAAAGAAUGGAGUAAAGCAAUCGCUUACUCCCUCAUAGAGUUAGUUGGAGUG